CUUCUCUCCACUGCUACCCUCCACCACUCUCACAUAGCCACCACCAACUGCCACCCUCCACCACUCUUACACUGCCGCCACCACCACCACCUUCUAUAAGUUUGAACUCAAAGACCUGCGUCUAUCAAGCUGGUUGGUGAUGAUGAUAUCAAAUCUUAACCUCUGGCGGAUAGUGUUGACGGACAAAAGUAAUCUUUCAUGGAUUUAGACGGCCCCUUUGUGAUCGGCUUGCUCGGAGCUGCAGGCCUUCAUUUCACUCCGAUUGCUUGCUGAUUGUAUGUAGGAUUUGGGAUGGACUUUUGGCUAAAGUGUCUUGGUUCUGACCUCCUGCACAAGAUCCCAAAGCCUUUUCCUUUUUACCUUGAGAAUGAAUUUGUUGACAUUUGAUCUACAGUGGGAAGAAAAUAAAUGAUGUUGACUUAAUCAGUAGUCAAGUAAUCAUCGAUCCUCAUUUUCAAGUUAUUUGCACAAUUAGUACCUGCAAAGUAGAAUGACAAAAUUGUCCUCAUGUGUCUUGCACAUGACAAGAUUUAACAAAAAAAAAAAAAUUAACUAGGUUAGGCCAAAAGGACAAAGUGUGUAGCAUUUGGAAACAUAAAGUACUAAACUCAUCAAUUUUAAAGGUAAAGGACAUCGA